UCCCCGGUAGCUCAGUUGGCAGAGCAAGCGGCUGUUAACCGCUGGGUCGUAGGUUCGAGUCCUACCCGGGGAGCCA
rnacentral:tRNA from 1 species